AACGAACGCUGGCGGCAGGCCUAACACAUGCAAGUCGAGCGAAGCCUUCGGGCUUAGCGGCGGACGGGUGAGUAACGCGUGGGAACGUGCCCUUUGGUACGGAAUAGCCCCGGGAAACUGGGAGUAAUACCGUAUGUGGUCGAGAGACGAAAGAUUUAUCGCCAAAGGAUCGGCCCGCGUUGGAUUAGGUAGUUGGCGGGGUAAUGGCCUACCAAGCCGACGAUCCAUAGCUGGAUUGAGAGGAUGAUCAGCCACACUGGGACUGAGACACGGCCCAGACUCCUACGGGAGGCAGCAGUGGGGAAUCUUAGACAAUGGGGGAAACCCUGAUCUAGCCAUGCCGCGUGAUCGAUGAAGGCCUUAGGGUUGUAAAGAUCUUUCAGUGGGGAAGAUAAUGACUGUACCCACAGAAGAAGCCCCGGCUAACUCCGUGCCAGCCGCCGCGGUAAAAC
rnacentral:rRNA from 1 species